UCAACAUUUUUUACACCAUGGCGAGUAUGUGGUGCCUUAGUGUUCUUGGAUGGAGUCUUGCCCUUUCAUUCUGUACGCUAUAAUGUCAUUGUUCUGUGUCCAAGGCCAUUCUACAUUUGAAUGUGAUUGUAUAGCAUUUUCCUAAGUGUUGCCUCU
rnacentral:lncRNA from 1 species